rnacentral:hammerhead_ribozyme from 1 species
ACCCAGCUGAUGAGUCCCAAAAAAGGACGAAGCAAAUGUCGUGGAU